GCUUAUUCCAUGCGGGACCACUAUUAAGGAUUAGAAGGAGGAUGAAAACAUCCGACUUUACGCUUUGUAACGAAAACUGUCGUUAAUUUGGCGGCAAGAUAAUAAUGUAAGUAAUUUUAAAAAAUAUACAUAACUAAUACUAUAAAUUAGAAAAAGUAUGAUUGUAAGAUAAAUUAACAAUUCAAUAUUUAACACGUUCGGCUAAGCCUGUGAACUCGUCGUGUUGUCACCGUGAGAUUUUUUACACCGACUGAUUAAAGCGAUAUAGAUAAAUAUAUAUAUAUAUAUAUAUAUAUAUAUAUAUAUAUAUGUGUGUGUGUGUAUAUGUUUGUGAUAGAUAUAUAUAUGCUGCGGCGUUCAUACAUUCAGUAGGAUUUAUGAGCUUGUAUAUUAUUUAUACCAUGUGAAAUUUGCAUUAUGUAAGGAACAUAUGCGUUGAAUUACGAAGUACCGAUGUUAUCAGAUAAUAAAAUAAGUAGGCUAGGAGGUUUAUAGGAAAUAAUCCUAGAACUUUAAAUUAUAAACACCCUACUCUCAUCUAUUAUUACCUCCGUUCAAUGAUAUAACAAAACAAAAAAACUUGUUCAUUGUUUGAACGGUUAAAGAUCAACGAGAAAUGACUAACGACUAUUAAACCCGCUGAAAGUACUGUUUACAUAACAUUAGAUAAUAAUUAUCUUAUUAGCUGGCAACAAUCUAAUUAUUCAUACCUAAUGGAAACAUAAAACAGGCUUAAUUAGUUAAAGAUAUAAAGAUAAAUAAUUAAAAUUGAUAUUGUAAUAUAACAAUAGCUGCAUUAUGAUAACCGGUUAACUAACUACAAUGUUCAAUAUAAGUGAUCUCUCACACGUAGUCUAUGUACAUGAAUUUGUGGAGCGCUACGCUUUUUUCUCUCUUUUUCUGUCUCUCUCUCUCUCUCUCUCUCUCUGUCUGUCUGUCUGUCCGUCUAUCUCUCCUCACUCUCUUCAAAGAAAAUAUUGUUAUAAUAGAAAGAAGAAAAAUUUUUUUUACUUUUUUUUUUACUCUUUAAAGGCAUCGACUAUUAGUGUAUUCGAAUUUCAAGAGCCUUGAAAAUAUCAGCUUUAUUCAAUUCUUGUAGAAAUCUUAUAUUCAAUCAAUUUAGAACGUUAAAAGUUCCUAUUUGUUAAAAUACUUUUAAAAAUUUAUCAUUCUUCUUCUCUCUUGACUUGGUAUAAAUGUUUCGAAUGUCAUAAAAUUUCAAUUAACCUGCUUUACCAGAGUACGUUAUAUUUGUUCAAUUCAUUAAAUAGUAAAGCAACAAUGUCACGCAUAUCUUUUAAAAGAGAAUUAUCAUUAUAAAUAUAAAUUAUGUAUAAGUGAUUCUUCGCGAAAAGAGGAAACUGUUAAUGCGUAAAAAACUUGUUGGAUAACUUUUAUAUAUUUAUAUCAACGCUAUAGAUAUAUUUGUGUGCUCCAUAUAAAAAAGGUUAGAUAGAUAUAGGAAGAUUGAGAGAGAGAGAGGGAGAGAGAAAAAGAGAGUUAAAAGAAAAUAUAUGGGAAAACACGUAGCUGGAUUUCAUUAAAGCGAUAAAACAGGUUAGAAACUCUCUAAAACCUUUCAAGGUGCCUUUUGAUGCCGAUUAAUGGGUAAAAAGCUGUCAAAAAUAGCCCUUUAAAACGCGUCUAUAAUGAGCUUUCAAUCGAUCGAAAAUAGUUUUACUCAUUGCUCUCUCGUUCGCUCUCUUUCUCUUCUUAAAAUGUGCUUAUCGCAACGUUUGAUAAGCUGUAUAAUAUUGACGCAUCAAAUAAUUGUCCACUGAUAAACAUAAACGGAAAAUUUGGCAAAAAAAAAAAAGUAUCAACAAUAAAAAACAUGUCGUCAAUUGAUGAUUGGGCGUUUCGAUCUGGCAGAGAGAUAAAAACUAUUAUAUACAAAAAAAAAAAGAAAAAAAAGUAAUACGUAAUAGAAGAGAGUACGUAUAAAUGAUAUUUCCAGAUGAUUUGCAAGUGUUUUCUUCUGGUUCGUAUAUCUCUUUUCAAGAAAAGCAGGUAGAAAUAAAAAAAAACAAAGUUAAUCCUAAAGAAAUCGGCUUAUAACCUGCUGCAAUAUUCUCUUGGUCAACUUUUCCUUUUGUUGCACAUGUUAUUAUUAUCUCUAUCUUACUCAUUCUCUCCUAUUUUUCUAUCGCCGUGAAUAGUUCUCUCACACUUGAUUCCGCUUCUCUUUACUCUCUUGCGCUUUUUAAUUGCUAUUUACUAGAAGAUGAAUAGUUGAGGAAUGUGUAAGUAAUUUGUACACUUUUACAAUGAAAGAAGAAAAUUGAAGGCUGACCGCACCCCUGGGGUAGAAGAGGGCGCGAAAAAAGGACCUUUAAUCACGGUCCACUUGAAAAGAAGUAGAAGGACAGAAAGUUCGAUAACACAUUGUAUUUCUUUUUCCUCCUACUUCAUUAUUAAGUUCUUGCGUGCCUUACCUUAACAAAAAAAAAAAUAACUGCCUAGAUCCGUACCUGUGUAUAUGUACGUAAAGUUUUUAAAAUUUCGCCUUGUCAACCUAAUUCUCUUAUCAAUAUUUUUCUCUUAUCGUUUAAUAAUGGAUAAUAUUGGUAAAAAAAAGAAAGAGAGAUCAGCUGCUCCAUUCUCUUUCUCUCUUCUCUCUAACAGUCAAGUUUUUUAUUUGCUUUAUAUGUAUUAAUCCACUCGAAAACUACUUUGAAUACCAUCUCAAAUUUCUUGUAGUUUUUUUAAUACCCGAUAUAUAAACUACACCUUGCCUUUAACCUAAAGUACAACUAACUUAGUUUAUAUAACAAAGUUAAAUAUUGCUGUAAGCCAAUUGCACUCUAUCACCCUGAAAUAAAUAAUUUCCGGGAAUCUGUUUCUUCUUCAACAAAUGUAUAAAGAAAACAUCGUAUGGGGUUUUCUUAGCUAUAAGACUAGGAAGCAAAGACCUUCUAUUCUAUUAUCUUCUUUUCCUUUAUUUCGCUAUAAUAUAUUGUAUAAAGAAAGGAAAAAUGAAUGUACACAUAAUAAACUGUAAAAUAAACGACUCUUGGGACCCUUUAUCUCGCCAAUAAGACCGUUUUCUAUGUUAUCCAACCGUGUUCUCUUCAAGUGUGCAGGCACUUUGUAGGCUAUAAAAUAAAGAAAGAAACAGCUAUUGGCCGGCUGCGGCGUACGAGAGGGAUAAAGAGAAAAGAUUUAGAGUAAGUGAACGAGAGAAAGAGAGAAUGGAAAUGUCCUAAUAAAAACGUGUUCUAUCAAUAAAUCCAUCGAUUUUCCAGUAAAUUGUGUUUUGUGAACGAAACAUUUGAUUAGUUGUUUCUUAUCAGAUGACGAAGGAGAGAGAAUUAGUAAUAGCCGUAAAGGCUCAGGACGAGCAGACGACAAAAAAAUUACUCAUCAACAAACAGAAAGGGAAAAAAUCGAAAAGGGUUAAUGUCGAUUAUCAGGACGGAGAUGGGAUGUCGGCUCUCCAUCAGGCCACUUUGGUUGGCAAUGUCAAUAUUAUGAAAAUACUUUUGGAUGCUCAAGCGUCGGCUUCAGUGUGCGAUAGUAGUGGUAGACGCCCGUUGCAUUUCGCUUGUUGGCAAGGCAGAAUCGAGCCAGUCGACGUUCUUUUAAAGGUAAAUAAAAAAAACCGCAGCUUUAUUUACAUUCGGCUAAAAAACUUUCCCCUCCAACGUUGAAUUUACUCUCAAGUACCUUCUCCUAUGAUAGGCCUAUAAUCCGUCUUCCGGCGUUAACCUUUUUGUUUUAUUAUUAUUAUUUUUUCCCUUCUUUUUCUUUUUUAUCUUCGUUAUUUUUUGAUUUUUUUCAACUUCCGACUUUUUAAGAAAUUGGUCACGCCUUUCUUAGGAAUUUCUCUUGAAAAGAAAACGACAAAAGCCGUGUUUUUUUUUUUCACUUUGACGGAUUAAUACAAGUUUGAAAGUUGUAUGUAGUAUUCCUGUCUCUCAGGAAGAUAGUAUUGAAAAGAGUGAUAUCUGUCAUUUUGCGCGCCUUUAACUUCUAACUUGUCUCUUCUCAUCUAUCCAUCAAAUCGUCACCUAUUUAUCAUCUAUUGGUUAAAUAUUGAAUAGAGCGAAAUUUAACUCUUCUUUGUCUCCAUUCAAAACUCUUAUUUUUCAUUUUCCCUCCCCCCCUUUCCCUUUAACCCGUUACCCGUUGAUGUUUUCUUUUUUGGCCGAACGUUAACCCUAUCAAGUUUACUUUACUAUUUUGAUAUAUCUUGUAUUUGAGGUUGCCUUAUGGAAAAAUUUGCUCUCUACGAAUAGUAGAGAAGGGAAUUGAGUAAAAUAGAAAAUAGGUUGUUUUUAAUAUGAAAAUGUAUAUACAUUCGGAAUAGAAAACCUUGUUAAAUAAUCUCUCCUUACCGAAUUUUACCUAAAAGCGUAUUAAAGGACUUAAAAGAAUUCCUUUAUUGAUUAGUAUUAUUUCUUUACUAAUCUGUUAUUCUAGCCAAGUAUUCUUUCUAUUUAUUCAAAGAGGUAAUCUAUUGGCAGAAAUUAUUCCCGGGUCUGCCUACAUUUCAUUUUCCAUUCUGCUAUUCCGACCUUAUCUUUCUAGGUUUACGUAACGAAUUGCGACCUUUGAAGAAAUUUUCUCUUUCUGUUUUCUAUAAAUCCUAGUAGAAGGCUAAGAAUUAACAGAGCAUUUCGUUGAGUGUGUUGUGUGGCCCAUAAGAAGAUUCAAAAGCUCAAGUGCUAAAGAUUUAUAGCCCUUAAUUAUUACAAAAUGUCGUCGUAGGAUGGCCUGUAAAAUGUAACUUAUUUUUAACUACUGUCUAUCCCGAAUAGUGUUUAACAAUCUGCUCCACUUUUAUAUUGUUUAUUAUUAAAUACUCUUUAUUAUUUGUAUUUACUCGAGUUGGUUGUAGGCCCAAAAAACAAGAAAGAAAAAAAAUUUUAAAACGACGAUAUCUAGAGAACGACUUAAUUUCGUUCUCUAUUUCUGUUUUUUUCUAUCUGUCUGCUAUUAUUUCUUCACGCAUUCUAUAUCUCUCUGCCUGCCUAUCGCGCAUCUAUCUAUCUAUCUCUCUCUCUAUCCGAAUUAGAAAAUAGUAAACAAGAAGAAAAAAUAAUCUUUUCAUUUUUAAUUAGGCCUAUAAUAGUUGAAAAAAAAAAAUUUACUUAACCUCUAGACACGGCAAAAAGUUGCGAUAAACUUUGGCAAUCAGAAUGAAAAUAGAGGAGAAAAAUGUGAGAGAUUGUUGUACAAUAGGGGUUUGGGAGGGGAAAUAUUGUUUAUUUAUAAUUAUUACGUAAUAGGAAGUUAUUAUUAGUCAAAAAUAGAGAUGACGUAGAGGGAGAGAAUUUUACGGAUUGUAGAAUUAGUACAAGAAACAAAAGACAAAAGGAUAACGGUACGACCGAUAUAGAUAAAGAAAAAAAAUGCCUAAAAGGAAUUUUAUUUUCAAUUUUAUAAUCAGAAUACAAGUAAUAAAAAAUUGAUUUUUAUCAGACAAGAACAAUGAGUCUCUCUCUCUCCCUCUCUGUCUGUCUCUCUUUUUCUUUCUAUAUCCAACUUACUAGUAGUUGUUUUUUAUUGUUUUUUAAACACGUGCUCUCUUAUUAUCAAAUCUACUUUUGGAACGAACUUAAAAUAACGGCUCUAUAUCUGAAUUUUUUCUGUGCGUAUUCUUUUAUUUAUAGGCUUAUAUACGCUUAUAAGACGCGAUGAUUUAUAUAUUGCUUAUUAUUGCUAUUGCUGUUUAACUAUUUAAAAAUUUUCGAAUAAUAACAAUAAUAGAAUAUUAAUGUUAUUAAAGGGGAGGGGCAAGUUCUUUCUAUGUUAAUAUAAUACUAGAUAAUUAAGUUGGCUUAUGAUAAAGAGAAAUGGGAUAAAGUUUAUCUUCAAUUUAAACCAUUUCACGUAGAAGGGUAAUAUAUAGCAGGUACUUGUCGGCCAAAACACGAUUACUCCAGGGUCGUAAAUUCAAGUUAAAGAAAACGAUUAGAAUUAUAAAAGAGUUCCUUAUUUCUUUCCUUUUGUACGAUUAUUGUGUACAAGUUAUUUUAAAAAUAUUUGAGGUGAUUUCGCAUAAUUUUGAUUUUAUUUCUAAUAUAAAAAGAAAUUAAAUAUUAAUUAAAGAGAAAAAGUACGAAAUAUUUAUUAUUUUCACAAAAAUUCACGGUGUCAAUACGUUUACCUACUCGAUACGUAAAUAUAAUCAUUAUUAUCCUAUAAGUUUUAUUCGAGUUUGGUUAAUUAACUUUUUCCAAUUACCGAUAAUCAAUGCUGUAAAAACCUAUUUUCGAUCCCUUUGAGUUAGAAAUACGAUUGUUAUAUUCUUUUAAUAACCCUCUCAAGCCCUUAAAAGCUUACGAUUAGAAAUGCCUAAUGAAGCAUUCCUAAUUAUUAUUAUUUAUUUUUAAGUCGUUUAACGCUUUUAUAUUUUUUUCGCUAGUCUUUUUGUUUUUUUCUUCUUUUCUUUCUUUCUCUCUCUCUCUCUCUCUCUUUCUACUAGAAUACAGAAUUUUUUUAUAUCUUAUCCCAAAUUCCUUUAGUCUAUUUAAUGAUAGAAAAAUGCUAUUGUGCAAUUUGCGUAUCAUUCUUUCUCAAUAGCACCACUUACUUCCUCCCAUUCGUACGAUAAAUAUUCCAUGAGUGAUGAGUAAUUCUUUAUAGGCUGACUAAAGAAAAAUAGCAUUCUUUGUGGUAACAAUGUUGUUUACAUUCCCUCUCUCUUUUUUAUCUACUAUAGAAUAAGGCUUCCCCGAAUGACUGCGAUGGUUUUGGUCAAACACCACUUCACUUUGCUUGUGGUCAUGGGCAUAGUGUUGUUGUAAAGAUGCUCUUAGAACACGGAGGAGAUGUAAAUAUCAGGGAUCAACAACAAAAAACUCCGUUCGAUUGUGCUUGUGAAAAAGGAAGAACGCCAGUUGUUCAAGUUUUAAUAUCCUCUUGUUCCAGUCAAUUAAUAAGUAACCCGCAAGAUUAUUAUUGCACUACUCCUCUUCAUCGAGCCGCCCACCACGGUCACGUCGACGUUGUUAAGUGCCUAUUAGAUUCCGGCAUUGUGGAUAUAAAUAGAAGAACUGCGUCAGGUACGGCUCUCCACGAGGCUGUCUUAUCUAAUAAGCCGAAUGUGGCGAAAAUGCUAAUGCAUCGAGGAGUCGAUUUGGAAGCUACUAAUUCCUUUGGUCAAACAGCAGCUCAACUCGUUGAACAGCUGCACAAAUCUAAUAAUUUAUAUAGGGGCGUCAGGUGUUUAUUCACGGGCGACGAUCCGCCCGAUGUUUUACCAAAUCGACCUUACGUCACGUUUGGAACCGACUCAGAAUUUCCUCCGCCACCAGUAACAACCGCUAAAGAUGCUGAUAGGGAUAGCGGAAUAUCACCUCAACAUACCCCGAACAGACUAUCCUCCCACUCUCUAUCUAGCGCCGAAUCGGGCGUCAGUAUGCAUUCAUCAUCCUCUUCCUCGCUUAGAUCUCUAAGCGAAAUAGAGCCAGCUACUUUUAUUCACGACCGACUUAAGGAAGGUCUUAAACCAACUGAUCCUCAGCUAUUAACCGCCUGGCUACAUCAGAUGCAGCUUGCCGAAUAUUCAUCCGUAUUUUUGAACUCCGGCUACGAUCUACCCACAGUUUCAAAGAUGACUCCGUCUGACGUUAACGCUUUGGGUAUUCAAAAAUCAAGUCAUUUGAAAAAGCUAAAAUCUGAAAUCAGUAGAUUGCAUUUUCCCGACCUGCUACCGAAUUUUAUUCCAGAUUCUAUAUCUACAUUUUUGGGUUGUUUAAACCUUAUAGAAUACGAUACGCUAUUGAAAUCUCAAGGUUAUAAUUCAGUCGAUAGUUUAACUGAAAUUACUUUUGAGGACUUGGAAGAGGUUGGUAUAACGAAGUUGGGCCAUCAAAAGAAGCUACUUUUAGCCGUUCAAAAAUUAAGGAGGCUAAAACAAGAUAACCAGCCAUUAGAUGAAACUAUUCAGAGUCCUGACGUUGUUGCCAUACAAGUAUCCCCGAGCGCUGAUAAGUCAUUACCAAUUCAAAUGGACUCGGAGGAUGUUGCAUAUAGUGGAACCUUAGCUAGAAGAAAUAAAAGUACAUUUAGUAAAAUGUCUAAUGUACAAGUAAGGAGAAACAAAACGCCUCCACCUCCACCUAGGAGAACGAACAGUAUGAGAACAUCUAUGAGAGUUAAGCCAGUCAGUCCACCUAAGUUACCUAGCGUAGACGAUAUAGAACACACUAAGAAGAAGGAAGUGCAUUUUUCUAGUCUUCCUAGACCUCAUAAAUCCACUCUCCCUCCUAAAAUAUUACCAACACCUUCCCUCCAAGCUCAUAGUGUCGCUGUUACACAUUACGAAGAUGUUGUGGCCAGUAAUGAGUACUUACAUUUCGCAAACGAAAAUGUCGGAACUAUCAGACAAAAAUCUCAUCUUGAAAAGCCAAGCGCCGAGGGGGCUUUCGAAUGUCCAAAUAUCCUGAACGAACUCGACGAUAUGCUUCAAGGUUUAAGCGACGAAUUAGACGCAACAAUCAGUAAAUUGGAAACAGAAUAAAUUGGAGCUGGUGCUUCGGAGACCGCAUCUCGAAAAAAUGUUGAGAUGAAACUUUAUUCGCGACCAGUUAGAUAGAAAUAGGUGCUUUUUAUAUAUAUAUAUAAAUACAUAUACAUCUCGAUUUGUGCCUUUUUUUUCUCGUGGAAAAAAUGUGAUGUAAAAGCAAAAUGGAAAAAACUAUGAUUUUAGUUGAUAAUGUUACUAUUAUUAUUAUUAUUAUUAUUGUUAUGCAAUCAAUAUUCUGUAAAUUUUACACGCCUUUUAAAAGAAAGAAACAAACAUUCAAUUGUCUUUUGUUUCUGUUGUGCAUUGAGCCUGUUUUUUAAUCAGAUGUAAAGAAAGGAAAAUAAUGUUAAUGUUAAGAGAGAAAUUCUUUAAUUUAUUUCCCUUUUAUUUUUUAUUACUUUGAUGUUUUUCUUUCGCGUUAAAGUUAUUGAACAAGUCUUGUUUUGUUUUUUAACUGUACACUUGGAAGAUGGUGAAAAGUCAAACGAGAAGGAGAUUGCAGGGAAAAGAAAGACAAAACACACAGAAUAAAUUCAAUAGUAAGGAAAGAGAAAAAGGGAAAAUUACUAAUUAAAAAGUAAAUGUUAUGGAAAAAGAAAAAAAAUCGUAUUUCUUCUGACGCCAUCACUUGGUCUAUCUGGAUAUUUUUUUUCAGGUGCCUUAAAUAUAUUGUGAUGUUAAAAAGAAACAAAUGAUCUAUUUAAAUAUUCUAUUUUACUUUGUUUAAGUUUAGGCUAAAAAGGAAAAUUUUUUGCUUCUUUUGUAAAAAUACAAUCUCAUAUCUUCAUUGAAUCUUUUUGGAGAAAAA
rnacentral:misc_RNA from 1 species